rnacentral:rRNA from 1 species
AACGAACGCUGGCGGCAGGCUUAACACAUGCAAGUCGAACGCCCCGCAAGGGGAGUGGCGCACGGGUGAGUAACGCGUGGGAACCUACCUAUCGGUACGGAAUAACACAGGGAAACUUGUGCUAAUACCGUAUGAGCUCUACGGAGGAAAGAUUUAUCGCCGAUAGAUGGGCCCGCGUCCGAUUAGCUAGUUGGUGAGGUAACGGCUCACCAAGGCUUCGAUCGGUAGCUGGUCUGAGAGGAUGAUCAGCCACACUGGGACUGAGACACGGCCCAGACUCCUACGGGAGGCAGCAGUGGGGAAUAUUGGACAAUGGGCGCAAGCCUGAUCCAGCCAUGCCGCGUGAGUGAUGAAGGCCUUAGGGUUGUAAAGCUCUUUCGUCGGGGAAGAUAAUGACGGUACCCGAAGAAGAAGCCUCGGCUAACUCCGUGCCAGCAGCCGCAGUAACAC